rnacentral:rRNA from 1 species
AUUAUGGCUCAGGAUGAACGCUGGCGGUAUGCUUAACACAUGCAAGUCGAACGGGAAUCUUAGGAUUCUAGUGGCGGACGGGUGAGUAACGCGUGAGAAUUUGGCUUCAGGUCGGGGACAACAGUUGGAAACGACUGCUAAUACCGGAUAUGCCGAAAGGUGAAAGAUUUAUUGCCUGAAGAUAAGCUCGCGUCUGAUUAGCUAGUUGGUGGGGUAAGAGCCUACCAAGGCGACGAUCAGUAGCUGGUCCGAGAGGAUGAUCAGCCACACUGGGACUGAGACACGGCCCAGACUCCUACGGGAGGCAGCAGUGGGGAAUUUUCCGCAAUGGGCGAAAGCCUGACGGAGCAAUACCGCGUGAGGGAGGAAGGCUCUUGGGUCGUAAACCUCUUUUCUCAGGGAAGAAAAAAAUGACGGUACCUGAGGAAUAAGCAUCGGCUAACUCCGUGCCAGCAGCCGCGGUAAUACGGAGGAUGCAAGCGUUAUCCGGAAUGAUUGGGCGUAAAGGGUCUGUAGGUGGUGCUGUAAGUCUGCUGUUAAAGAGUCACGCUCAACGUGAUAAAAGCGGUGGAAACUACAGGACUAGAGUGCGGUCGGGGCAGAAGGAAUUCCUGGUGUAGCGGUGAAAUGCGUAGAUAUCAGGAAGAACACCGGUGGCGAAAGCGUUCUGCUAGUCCGCAACUGACACUGAGGGACGAAAGCUAGGGGAGCGAAUGGGAUUAGAUACCCCAGUAGUCCUAGCCGUAAACGAUGGAUACUAGGCGUGGCUUGUAUCGACCCGAGCCGUGCCGGAGCUAACGCGUUAAGUAUCCCGCCUGGGGAGUACGCACGCAAGUGUGAAACUCAAAG